CCUACGGGUGGCAGCAGUGAGGAAUAUUGGUCAAUGGACGAGAGUCUGAACCAGCCAAGUAGCGUGAAGGAUGACUGCCCUAUGGGUUGUAAACUUCUUUUAUAUGGGAAUAAAACGUUCCACGUGUGGGAUUUUGUAUGUACCAUAUGAAUAAGGAUCGGCUAACUCCGUGCCAGCAGCCGCGGUAAUACGGAGGAUCCGAGCGUUAUCCGGAUUUAUUGGGUUUAAAGGGAGCGUAGGUGGAUUGUUAAGUCAGUUGUGAAAGUUUGCGGCUCAACCGUAAAAUUGCAGUUGAAACUGGCAGUCUUGAGUACAGUAGAGGUGGGCGGAAUUCGUGGUGUAGCGGUGAAAUGCUUAGAUAUCACGAAGAACUCCGAUUGCGAAGGCAGUUCACUGGACUGCAACUGAUACUGAGGCUCGAAAGUGUGGGUAUCAAACAGGAUUAGAUACCCCAGUAGUC
rnacentral:rRNA from 1 species